rnacentral:RNase_P_RNA from 1 species
GCAUUCAGGUGGCCGCUGUGCAGCAAUGCAUAGAGGAAAGUCCAUGCUCGCACGGGCUGCGAUGCCCGUAGUGUUCGUGCCUAGCCAAUUCAUAAGCUAGGGUAGUCAGGUAACUGGCUAACGGCAGGAGGAUUGCCUACGUCCUUUGGAUACGGUAAACACUCCUUGAAAGUGCCACAGUGACGGAGUCCAUUUGGAAACGAAUGGAGUGGAACGAGGUAAACCCCUCGAGCGAGAAACCCAAAAUUAGGUAGGGGCAUUUUCUGGUUUGGAACUGAACAAAACCAGAUGAACAGGAUUUAAUCCUGUAGAUAGAUGGUCACCACCAGCGUACGAGGCUCAUCACCGCUUGUAGUGCAACGGUACAGAACAUGGCUUAUCGAG